GGAGAGGUGGCUCAGCGGUUAGAGCACUGGCUGUUCUUCCAGAGGUCCUGAGUUCAGUUCUCAGCAACCACA
rnacentral:tRNA from 1 species